rnacentral:lncRNA from 1 species
UUUUCAGCCAGAUCAGCCAGCUGAAUCAACUCACCCAGAAGUCACUCCAUCGCUGGAUUCAGUGCAAGGGAGAAGGAUGGAGAACACAGCUGGAAGCAGUAGUGGAGUGAGAUCACCACUAUUUGGCAUUAGCUUGCAAUUCGAACUGCAAGGAUGAUCUGCUCCCAUUCUCCCUUCCCUGCUCCCAGCAGCACGUUCCUUGCCACUUCCAGUGCUUGCUUGAUCUCAGGGAACUAGGCCUGCUCUCUAAGUAAGCAGCAAACUAACCUAGCACCUGAGAAAUAGACAGUAUUCUGCCUGCUUAAUUAGGUGAAGGAGGGAGGUGGGAUGAGUCUAAGUCCUGGCACAAGGAUGCUGAUGAGCUUGUGUGGUGUCUGUGACUGGGAGGAGGCCAGGGUGGCUCCUUCUGACAGCAGCCAAUUAAACCCAAAGAAGGAAAAUAAGCAGCAUAAAAAAGAGAGCCACAGAUGAGCAAAUGGGAACCAGCUGCACACUCUCCAUUGAAAAGUGUUCACCUCAUCAUUAGUUGAGGAAGGACAGGCUUAAUGCAUGCUUUUGAGAGGACUCAUGAGCGAUUUGUUGAAGGUGUUAGAAGCCUGAGGUGGCAGUCACACCAGCUGUGUGCCAGGGAGCAGCCAGACCUGUGGGAGCCUGGACAACAUGCAGCUCCAGGACCCCAAAGCAGCAUGGAGCAGAGGAGAGUGGAUGCAGUGGUUCCGUUCCAUGCUCACCAGAUAGCUGUGCAGAGAGCUGCUGAGGGUAAAUCUGUGCUGCCUGGUGGCUCUGAACAGCCGCACACCAGGCUGCAGAGCUGCAGCAGAGCAUGCCGGCCAUAGCCAUGCCUCGGUUGGAUGCUACACUGACAGAUGUCUUGCUCUCCAGCUGGGACCUCUCCAGCAGACUACACUGCAGGUUGUGGAGAAACCUGCUCCGCUGGCACGCCUGUUGUAGGGCAUAGCAGGGCUGGCACAAGAAGAGAUGAAUAGUCACAUGUUUACUAGGAGCGUCAAACAUUUGCUACAGGAGAGAUCCUGUUAUGAGACAAAUCAGUUUUCUGUCAUCGUUUUCCAAAUCAGCUUGUCAAACAGGAUGCUCAUGGAGCAUCUUGCAUUUAGCUUGGCCUCCAGAUAUGUGGGGAAACUAAGGGCUGUCUGAUUGCAGGCGGUUUCUGCCAUGAAGCAGGAACGCCUUUGGGUUUGCUGGUAUAUGAAAUGAAAAUGUUUCCUUCCAUUUGAGAGAAACAUAGCAAACCCCAUAGGGAUCAGUAAGAAUGUCAGUUUCUUUAAGGAUGUAUUUUAGGAUAAAGAAUUCAACGUUUCUCAAAGCAGAAAGUUUAAUAUUAAGCUCACUAUGGAUUAAACUGCAGAAUUAAUGCAAAUAUAUAUAUAUAUAUAUGUGUAUGUAUUUAUGAAGGAUGGCCUCUGCAAACCAAGCAGGAAAUGUGCCUGAUGAAAACUUUGAAAAUAGAUUGAAAGUAAUCUUGUAGAUGAACUAACAAAUCUUGAUGUGAAGCCAGAUCUGAUGCUGAAACGCUGCUUGCAAAGCAGGGUGCAGGCGUGCAUGCACGAGGAGAUAGCGUUAUCUGUGCUGCCGUUAGCUCGGUGCAUGAGAUGGUGCCAGACAGACAGCUGCCUGCCCUAGGAAGCAAAACGCUCCAAAGGGGACGAUGCACCCUUGUUCUGUAGUCUUGGGAAAAAGGAAAGAAUAGCGUCGUGUUUGUGAUCCUCAGCCAAAACCAAAACAAACAGAAGCGAGUGAAGAAGCUACAAAGGAUUUCUAAGUGGCUGUAAAGUGUCUUUUGAAGCUUAGGUUUAACCGUCAUCUAAGCCAGACUCUGCCCCUCUCCGGGCACGUUUGUACUAAACAGGGCCGCGAGUGGCAUUCACUCUUUCAAGAAAUACAGACUGGAAAUGAAGUGCUUUAAAUACAGCUUUCACAUCUCUUCUGCCUUUCAUGCAAACGCUUCAAAGCACGUUGUAAGCGUGCCUUAAUAAUCAGCUUUGCCGAGAGAUCAGCGAGCAGACGGGGAGAUGCGCGCCGAAGGGAAGGACAGCUCCUGGGCAGCGCUGGGGACGAACGUGUUAAUGUGUUUCUGUGAACACUGCCAAGCGGUCACCAGGGCGGCAGCUCAGUGCAGCUAGAGCUCUGGAGAAAUAACUGCCUGGCACAUUUCUUGUGCCGGCUCUGAGGCACGUUUCCUGAGGGAAGAGAGAGAGAAGCCAGGAGCCGCCCUCCUGCUGCCCGUGAGACGGAGCCAAAGCCCGCGCUGCUCGACACCGCCGCCCGCGAGGGGGCGGAGCUUAGAGCGGCGGUCCGAGAGGAGGCGUGGCCUGAGGCGGUCCCUGGCGGGGCGGGACCGGAAGUUCCGGGUCGGAGGGAACGGGAAGUCGGGACGUGGC